GCCCAAGGCAGCCAGGCCAUGAGAUCUUAGGCCAUGUCAAGACGUGACGUGGUUCUUACCAAUGUUACUGUCGUCCAGCUACGGCGGGACCCAUGCCCAUGUCCAUGCCCAUGUCCAUGUCCAUGUCCAUGUCCCGUGAUCAGACCACCUCCACCUCCACCCAAGGUUGAGGAGCCUCCGCCACCCAAGGAGGAGCCGCCGCCACCGCCACCACCGCCUCCUCCACCCCAGAUAGAGCCAGAGGAGCCUAAAGAGGCUCCACCUCCACCUCCACCUCCUCCACCCCCUCCCCCUCCCCCUCCUCCACCACCCCCAAAGCCAGCUAAAGAGCUAACAGUGGGCAUCAAUGGAUUUGGACGCAUUGGUCGUCUGGUGCUACGAGUCUGCAUGGAGAAGGGCGUUCGGGUAGUAGCAGUGAAUGACCCAUUCAUUGAUCCAGAAUACAUGGUGUACAUGUUCAAAUAUGACUCCACACAUGGUAGAUACAAAGGAACGGUGGAACAUAAGAAUGGACGACUAGUUGUGGACAACCUUGAGAUCAACGUGUUCCAGUGGUAAGGAC
rnacentral:lncRNA from 1 species